UUUUUCAAAGGUUGAAGGUCUAAAAGUGGGUUAAUCAAUCUUCUCUACUGCUAGCUGUGUAGGGCAUUUGAGCACAUAAGCACCCAAAAGAUGGGAAAUUAAUUCAAAUUUUCCCCACUUUUCUUUUGGGAAACUAUUGGAUUGAAAUAAUCGUUAACUUAAUAUU